rnacentral:rRNA from 1 species
UACGUAGGGUGCGAGCGUUAAUCGGAAUUACUGGGCGUAAAGCGUGCGCAGGCGGUUGUGCAAGACAGAUGUGAAAUCCCCGGGCUCAACCUGGGAACUGCAUUUGUGACUGCACGGCUGGAGUGUGUCAGAGGGGGGUAGAAUUCCACGUGUAGCAGUGAAAUGCGUAGAUAUGUGGAGGAAUACCGAUGGCGAAGGCAGCCCCCUGGGAUAACACUGACGCUCAUGCACGAAAGCGUGGGGAGCAAACGAGGAU